rnacentral:antisense_RNA from 1 species
GGAGAUAUUUCUCAAAAGACUCAUCUGCGGGAGAGGAGAAUAGCUGCACUCUAAGCAGUUCGCAGGGAGCAUCUUUGAGCAGCUGGAACAGCUUUGCGGCCUUGCUGUAAUGAAGAUCUGCCAGCACCCGGUGUUGUUUCCUAAGGUGUUCAUCACCAACCUAGAACCAAACCAAAACAAGCAACAAAUCCUUCACGAGAAAGAAAGAAAACAACUGUGUAAGCAGACAUCAGUGUAAACCCUAGCACUGUCUCUUGAUGAGAUAAGAGGAGGAUGGCAGUGACAGGAGUGUGGUGGCAAGCCAGUCACCUGCAGUCAACCGCGGCUCAUUGCUCUCACCACGCCUGUUACAUGAAGUUUCAGGCAUCCACUGGGGAUCUUGGAACACAUCCUCCAAGGACAAGUGGGGUCUACUGUACAACACUUAAGUAUAACCCUCUUCACUAUUAAUCAAAUGAUAUUAAAAUAAGCAAAGAAAAA